GAGAAGCUUCUAUAUAUGGAUUCGAAAUCAUCAAUUUUUUUCUCAUUUCAACCUAGACAAAAAUUUCAGCUUUCUAGGUUUUUCUCUCUUGUUCUCUCUUGGCUAUGAAGUAACCCUAUAGUUCCACAAGGUUUAUUCGGAUUGACCUUCCUUCCAAGAUAAAGGAUUAAGAUAUUGAAGAAAUAGACAUUAAGGAAUAAACUACCAAGUAAAUCAAGGCUACAGGCACAGGUGCUUCGGCAAACACGCCUCCUCAGUAGGAUCCCAGGAUAUCCAUCUGCUAUUGGUGAGCUCCAGUUUGCUUUGGGGCUUUCCGAGUCGGUUCUAUAUAUUUUUGGUAUUGUAUAAAAUUUAAUAGUAUGGCGGAGUUUUUUCCCGACCUUAGCUAAUUUCUAUGUAUCAUCUAGAGACUUUAUAGACCAAUGUAAAGUUAAGCAUGGUAGUGUGUUAUCUUGUAGAUGUUAUGGACCCAACGGCCAAUUCUAUUAUGUAUAUGGUUUUAGGGAUUGUCAUUUAUAUUUUUUUUAUUAAGGCAUUAUAUCCAUAGAUGGAAAAA